UACGUAGGGUGCAAGCGUUAAUCGGAAUUACUGGGCGUAAAGCGUGCGCAGGCGGUGCUGUAAGACAGAUGUGAAAUCCCCGGGCUCAACCUGGGAACUGCAUUUGUGACUGCAUCGCUAGAGUACGGCAGAGGGGGAUGGAAUUCCGCGUGUAGCAGUGAAAUGCGUAGAUAUGCGGAGGAACACCGAUGGCGAAGGCAAUCCCCUGGGCCUGUACUGACGCUCAUGCACGAAAGCGUGGGGAGCAAACAGG
rnacentral:rRNA from 1 species